UAGGGAAUCUUCCGCAAUGGACGAAAGUCUGACGGAGCAACGCCGCGUGAGUGAAGAAGGAUUUCGGUUCGUAAAGUUCUGUUGCAGGGGAAGAUAAUGACGGUACCCUGUGAGGAAGCCCCGGCUAACUACGUGCCAGCAGCCGCGGUAAUACGUAGGGGGCUAGCGUUAUCCGGAUUUACUGGGCGUAAAGGGUGCGUAGGUGGUCUUUCAAGUCGGUGGUUAAAGGCUACGGCUCAACCGUAGUUAGCCUCCGAAACUGGAAGACUUGAGUGCAGGAGAGGAAAGUGGAAUUCCCAGUGUAGCGGUGAAAUGCGUAGAUAUUGGGAGGAACACCAGUAGCGAAGGCGGCUUUCUGGACUGCAACUGACACUGAGGCACGAAAGCGUGGGUAGCAAACAGG
rnacentral:rRNA from 1 species